CUAGUAUAGCAUUAUACCGCGAACUGCGAAUGGCUCAUUAAAUCAGUUAUCGUUUAUUUGAUAGUACCUUACUACAUGGAUAACCGUGGUAAUUCUAGAGCUAAUACAUGCUAAAAAUCCCGACUUCGGAAGGGAUGUAUUUAUUAGAUUAAAAACCAAUGCCCUUCGGGGCUCUCUGGUGAUUCAUAAUAACUUCUCGAAUCGCACGGCCUUGCGCCGGCGAUGGUUCAUUCAAAUUUCUGCCCUAUCAACUUUCGACGGCUGGGUCUUGGCCAGCCGUGGUGACAACGGGUAACGGAGGGUUAGGGCUCGACCCCGGAGAAGGAGCCUGAGAAACGGCUACUACAUCCAAGGAAGGCAGCAGGCGCGCAAAUUACCCAAUCCCGACACGGGGAGGUAGUGACAAUAAAUACUGAUACAGGGCUCUUUCGGGUCUUGUAAUUGGAAUGAGUACAAUUUAAAUCCCUUAACGAGGAACAAUUGGAGGGCAAGUCUGGUGCCAGCAGCCGCGGUAAUUCCAGCUCCAAUAGCGUAUAUUAAAGUUGUUGAGGUUAAAAAGCUCGUAGUUGAACCUUGGGCCUAGCCGGCCGGUCCGCCUCACCGCGUGCACUGGCUCGGCUGGGUCUUUCCUUCUGGAGAACCUCAUGCCCUUCACUGGGUGUGACGGGGAACCAGGACUUUUACUCUGAACAAAUUAGAUCGCUUAAAGAAGGCCUAUGCUCGAAUACAUUAGCAUGGAAUAAUAGAAUAGGACGUGUGGUUCUAUUUUGUUGGUUUCUAGGACCGCCGUAAUGAUUAAUAGGGACAGUCGGGGGCAUCAGUAUUCAAUUGUCAGAGGUGAAAUUCUUGGAUUUAUUGAAGACUAACUACUGCGAAAGCAUUUGCCAAGGAUGUUUUCAUUAAUCAGGAACGAAAGUUAGGGGAUCGAAGACGAUCAGAUACCGUCGUAGUCUUAACCAUAAACUAUGCCGAU
rnacentral:rRNA from 1 species